ensembl:lncRNA
CUGAAAUUAAUUUUAAUUAAGAUGUAGUUUAUAGAAAAAUACAUACAUAUUUACAACCACAUAUGGGGGUUUUUGCAAUCAUGCAAAAAUGUAAGAAAAAUAUGCUAUAUACAGGACAGAAAGUACACAAGAAAACUCUGGAGCCGACACUCAUUUACUUUCUUUGGGAUCCACAUGCUCGAAGUAGAAGGAUUCAUACAGAGGCACUUGCCGCUGAAAGAGAAGGACAUAAAGAAGAAGCUCAUCAGUCAGACAUCACAGACCGAGGCGCUCCACAGGUCAGUGUUUCCUAAAAUGCACAACCUAAAACUCAACAGGCAAUCUGAGUUUAACACAUAGUUAGGUAGAAACAUUAUGUCAGUUAUAUUUUUAUGAUGUCUCAAUGUUGAAGUCACCGUGAAUAACUCAGUGAAAAUGGAUCAACAUGUAUUUGGACUGUUUAAAAAUGAUUUUCAGUACUGUUUCCUAUUGUCCCCCUAAACUAACUAAAACAUCACCCUGAAAUGAACCCCGUUCUCACCCACUGAGACGAGCCUCUGGAGGAGCUUGUGCUGUCUUUGUCUGCAUCUGCCAUCUCGGAGUCUACGUGGGGAACCUCGUAGAUGACUCGGGCUGCUAGUGCUGAAAACACACACGUCCACAUAGAAAUGAUUACAAGGAUUUAAAUUGCAUUUUCUUUUUAAAAUAAUGACCUAAUUGGGAGCCGCAUUUAAUCCUUUCGGUCUCUGUUACUGUUACUGUAAUGUUACAAACAUGUUACAAUACUUCAUCCCUCCUUAUAUUUUCAUUUUAUUUUAACAAACUUAUCUCUGUCAGUGUUUAAACUGUGGCAUCCUGUUAUUAUGGGAUGAAAUGGACUUUACAAUAAUUCACACUUUAUCUACUUCACUUCUGCACCUGUGGAGACUCAAACCAAGAACCUUCCUGCUGUGAGGAGACGGCACCAACCACAGUGUUUUGUUUUUCCAUAUCUGCAUCAAUUACUCACCUCCAGCAGUAUCUGAACCAGCUGUUUCAGCUAUCAUCGUGUGCCAGUCUCAGCUCAUUGACCAUCUGCUCUUCAGUGACUGGCUUCCUCUUUUUAAUUAAAUCAGACUUUAGAUUUGCCCAUAUCUACAUGUGCUUCUUCUUUAAUCUGAUGCCAGCAGUCAGUUUAAAAACUAAACCAUUUUGAACUAUUGCAUUCUUUAUUUGAUAACACAAUUUUUGCAGCCUUUUUCACAACCCUAGUGUAUUAAAACAUUAUCCUUGGCACACAACGCUAUUCAAUUUCAGCCCCAAAUAUUUCUAAUUGAAACACUAUUAUGUUGUUGUUGUUUUUCAAUGUAGACUUGUUUCAUGAGUAGAUCAUCUAUCAAGAGGAAAUUUGCUCUUUUGAGGUUGAACUCCAAAUUGUUCCUAGUGAAUCAAGUAUUAAUGAAUGUAUGAAUGCAGCUUGUAGUGUAGAACGACUUUGAGUUUUCAGUGUUAUA